rnacentral:tRNA from 1 species
GCCCGGAUGGUGAAAUUGGUAGACACAAGGGAUUUAAAAUCCCUCGCUCUUUGAGCGUGCCGGUUCAAGUCCGGCUCCGGGCA